rnacentral:misc_RNA from 1 species
CUAGGAAUUCAUGAACAAGAGUAAAAAUAUUGAAAGAAAAUAAAGCAAGUAUGAACUAGAAUGCAAUUUUAACUGUCAAUGCUAGAAGUAUACAAAAAAAAUCAAGAUCGCUUAGCAAAUACAGGAGGGUAAAUGGCAAGAAGUUUUAUUUGUUAUAAUAUAAAAGCAUUGUAUCAAAUUUAUGCUUCAACCCAUCAUGUGAAAGAACACAAAUAUGUCAAAAUCUUGCAGCUAACCCCUCUUAGAUGGUAACAGUUAUACAUAAAAAGGAUGUUACUGACGAGAGGACAUGACUACCAUCUGUCAGCCAUCUUCCAUCUUGGAUCUGUUAUCGCGGUACACUGAGACCUAGUUCUGGAUCAAAAUGAAAAACAUUACAUUAUUAGCAUUAACCUACACUACCAUAGAUUUUACUUAAAGAAUUGGUCCAUUGGUCACAUGAAUCCUCAUGAGAGCAUUUGACACUAAAUAAUUAACAAAGAAACAAUGUCCGUGGCAAGUCCAAGUUGUUUAGAUCAGAAAAAAAGCAGCAGACAAAAGUAAUAAUCCAUGGAUGAUAACAGUGAUAAGCAGUUGCCACCCAACGUUAGGACUAAAACUCUAAAACUACUCUAAAAUGACACUCGUGCACCAUGAUAAUAAAUCUCAUUGGCUGAGACUGAGAAUUAUAAAUGAAGAAAAUUUUAGCGCCCAUUAAUAUGAAAGAAAUAAUAAACAUUAGCCCAAAAGAUUAACUAAUAUCAACUGCCAGAGAGGUAAGGACCUGAAUAAUAGAACUAGUCCAACUGAAAAAAAGAAUGCACAUGGGUACAACUUUUAUAUUGUAGGUGCAAAAUCAACCUCAAGACUCAAUCUUAGCCUAAUUAUUAUGAAAACCAAGACAUCAAUUAAAGACUUCUUUUUAAUAUUUGGACAGCAUAUGGAUGAGUAAAGAAACACUGGCCACAACU